UGCUAUCUCUAGAGAUAGAAAGUUACUUCGGUACAUCGGUGACAGGUGGUGCAUGGUUGUCGUCAGCUCGUGUCGUGAGAUGUUGGUUAAGUCCCGCAACGAGCGCAACCCCUAUUGUUAGUUGCCAUCAUUCAGUUGGGCACUCUAGCGAGACUGCCGGUAAUAAACCGGAGGAAGGUGGGGAUGACGUCAAAUCAUCAUGCCCCUUAUGACCUGGGCUACACACGUGCUACAAUGGUUGGUACAACGAGUUGCGAGUCGGUGACGGCGAGCUAAUCUCUUAAAGCCAAUCUCAGUUCGGAUUGUAGGCUGCAACUCGCCUACAUGAAGUCGGAAUCGCUAGUAAUCCGCGGACUCAGCACCGCCGGCGGUGAAUACGUUCCCGGGCCUU
rnacentral:rRNA from 1 species